rnacentral:hammerhead_ribozyme from 1 species
GUACUCCUGAAGAGUCCCAAACUAGGACGAAAGGACUGUCAAGUAC